rnacentral:rRNA from 1 species
UGGGCAUAUCCAAAAGCGGAGGAAAAGAAACCAACCGGGAUUGCCUCAGUAACGGCGAGUGAAGCGGCAAGAGCUCAAAUUUGAAAGCUGGCUCCUUCGGAGUCCGCAUUGUAAUUUGCAGAGGAUGCUUUGGGUGCGGCCCCCGUCUAAGUGCCCUGGAACGGGCCGUCAGAGAGGGUGAGAAUCCCGUCUUGGGCGGGGUGUCCGUGCCCGUGUAAAGCUCCUUCGACGAGUCGAGUUGUUUGGGAAUGCAGCUCUAAAUGGGUGGUAAAUUUCAUCUAAAGCUAAAUACUGGCCGGAGACCGAUAGCGCACAAGUAGAGUGAUCGAAAGAUGAAAAGCACUUUGAAAAGAGAGUUAAACAGCACGUGAAAUUGUUGAAAGGGAAGCGCUUGCGACCAGACUCGCCCGCGGGGUUCAGCCGGCAUUCGUGCCGGUGUACUUCCCCGUGGGCGGGCCAGCGUCGGUUUGGGCGGCCGGUCAAAGGCCCCUGGAAUGUAGUACCCUCCGGGGUACCUUAUAGCCAGGGGUGCAAUGCGGCCAGCCUGGACCGAGGAACGCGCUCGGCACGACGCUGCAAAAACGAUUACUUGUAU